AUGAUGAUAUGAUGACUUUUUCAGCAGUUUGCUCCAGGAGUUCUGAACCUUAUCGUGCUACAUAUCUAUUCAGAAUGAAGAUAUCAUCUGCACCUGUUUUUAAAGAGCUCUCAGCGAAAAGAUUCAAGGGAAAGCAUCUUCCUCUUCUUCCUCACCCAGCAAGCUGGUCAAGAAGGGGAUGAGCACUUUCACCUUCAUAGAUGAUUGCCUAAGACUUUGGUUGAAAAGAAGUCCUAAUCCACAGGUGGCCAUUUAUACGGCUGAAAUGAGAGCAAGGGAGAUUAAGAGACUGCCUUUGUAGAAAAUGACAAUUCACUACAUUUACUUCUGCCUUGAGAUGCAGUGAUGACACCACCAUCAUCAAAUCAACAUUUUUACAAUAAUAUAACAGCAUUGUGCCAGUGUUUAUUUAAGUAAUGAAUCGACCACUGUUACCACUGCACAGCCACCAGUCUGAAGGACGUACUGCUGAGCACCUCCAAAAUCCAUCACCAUUGCCACCUCUAGCUCUAUCACCACUUUUUCAGCACUCCAGCUCCACAGAAACCUGAAAAGCCCAGUUAGCUGAAAUCAAUGAAAAUAAAUGUGAUCAAGGGAACAAUGCCUCUACAAGAGACAAGAGCCACGGGGGUGCAGUGGUUAGAGUGCAGUACUGCAAGUACUUCUUCUACAGAUAUGUGCUUCUGCUGAUCACCAGCUGCUGGUUGCAGAUUGAAUCUCACCAGGCUCAAGGUUGGCUCAGCCUUCCAUCCUUCCGAGGUUUGGGUGAUCUGGUCCAAACUGGUAGCAUUUCACCCCUGGAUUGAACUCUCAACCUCCCAAGUGGGGGGUGAGCGUCUUGACCUCUAAGUCACUUCGCUGCUCAUAUGUAGUAACCUUCUAUAAUACAGCUUCAAACAAAAUGGCAAAAUUCUAAAUACUGUCAUGGAGACCCACUAAAUGAACCAGGAUUGAAUAAUUUGUAAAUUAUCAAGCUAAAGAAAACAAUCUCUGGGAACUCUGGAUUUGUGGUCCUAAUAUACCCCUUGAAGAAUCAGGUUUGACAAGAUAUUUUCUAAAAGUCCAUACACAUAAGUAGAACAAGAAUAGUUGUGGAUGACCUUGGAUGCCAAUAUAUAGAGACAAAGAGAAAAAUGAGAAGAAAUCAAGUUCUGGGAUACUAUUUAAAGGGAUUAAAGAUCAAGAACAUUAAAAGCAAAGUGAGGAGACAACUGAAUGUAACAAAUGCAUUCCAAAGUUAUGAUCAGUGGUUCCUCAGCUCUUCUGAUGGUGUGCCCAUUGCUGAUCUAAUGGAAUCUACAUUGCUGAUGUAAUGGAAUCUUGCUAAUGCUCAUCCUCAAUUUUUCUUUCCUGCUACUUUCCUCAAUGUUAAUCUGUAGAUUUGUCCAGGGAAUUACAGUUAGCAAAUCACAAUUUGGUUACAACUUUCUGAGGUCUUUGAUGGCCAGCCCCAAGUUCUGAAGAAGCUGUUUACAGCCCUGGGGGUCUCUGAUUGUGCACCUCCGCUUUAGAUCAGUGGAUAAACCUGGAAGUAGGAGAUGUAGGGGAUCAGCUAUUUGAACAUAAAUCAUGGUUAUUCUCUUGUGGCUUGCAGCAUGGGACAAAUUAUCCUGAAGAUCUUUUGUAGGCAUCAUGCCGGACCGGUGUCGAAUUAUGCAUGUCUUCUCUCCAAUUAUGAACAAAAUAUGCUCUUCCACAGAACAUUCUGUUCCAGGCAUUCAAGAUGCAUUUUGCUUCUUGGGUAUUCCCUUGUUCCCUUUUUAGGGGAUUUUCUUUGAAAAUAGAAGGACAAGUUUGACUGAACUUUUUAUAACACUUGAUAAAUGAAUCAUGGCAAUUAAAGCUGUACUUGUGCUUUCCCUGUGCUAUUGUAUCAUAUGAAAAAUUUAUAAUUGGAAAUGAUCACUAAAAUGUGAAAUGAUCACUAAUUGGACAGUUUCCUUUGAUAAAGCUUCAAGGACUUCCGAAAUGUACUGGCUUUCCAUCUUUAUUGCGUUUUCAACUAUGUCCAUGUUAAGUCUAACUAUAGUGGGAACUAUGUGGGAACAUACACACAUGUGGGAGACAAGAGCCUGCAUGUGAAGUAUUUUCUAUAAGCACUUGUAGGUCCAAAGAUAUUUGUUUUUAUUGCUUAAGAUUGCUAUUGUUAGUCCAAAGAAUAUCAGUGUUUCAUCACAUGAAAAAAUUAAUGCCAAAAUUUAACUCAGACUUUGUUGCUUAUUCAGAGAAGAUACAGGGAACAAAAAAUGAUGGGAUACAUACCCAAAGCUGUACAAAACCCUGGG